rnacentral:rRNA from 1 species
GUUGAACGCUGGCGGCAUGCUUUACACAUGCAAGUCGAACGGUAACAGGGUGCUUGCACCGCUGACGAGUGGCGAACGGGUGAGUAAUGCGUCGGAACGUGCCGAGUAGUGGGGGAUAACGCAGCGAAAGUUGUGCUAAUACCGCAUACGUACUGAGGUAGAAAGUGGGGGACCUUCGGGCCUCACGCUAUUCGAGCGGCCGACGUCUGAUUAGCUAGUAGGUGAGGUAAAGGCUCACCUAGGCGACGAUCAGUAGCGGGUCUGAGAGGAUGAUCCGCCACACUGGGACUGAGACACGGCCCAGACUCCUAUGGGAGGCAGCAGUGGGGAAUUUUGGACAAUGGGCGAAAGCCUGAUCCAGCCAUGCCGCGUGUCUGAAGAAGGCCUUCGGGUUGUAAAGGACUUUUGUCAGGGAGGAAAUCCCUAGUGCUAAUAACACUGGGGGAUGACAGUACCUGAAGAAUAAGCACCGGCUAACUACGUGCCAGCCGCCGCGGUAA